CUGGUAGUCUCUCACAUCAAAUAACAAAUAUUGAAACCUAUUGAAAAGUUUCCUCGUUGGCAUGCAAGUCCAAAGUUUAUUUGGAGCUGUGCAGGGAUAUUCAAUUCUGAUCCUCCUCCAGGUGGCCUGUGCAGUUCCAUUUCACAAAAGACUCUUCCACCUUCUUUAUUCUCACAAACAUGAAUACGGCCAUUUAUUAUUAUUUUUAACUGCAGAAGAGGAUUAGCAGUUUGCUGGCGAGAUAAUAGCAUUAUACCCUGGAAAUGCAACAAGAGCUAUGCGUGAGUAAACUAUUCUCUUUAUAUACUCUAAUGGCUGUACAAUGAAACACUACGAACACACAGAAGCAAAGCUAUGCAAUAUUUUUUU